ensembl:ncRNA lncRNA:CR46147 long non-coding RNA:CR46147
UGAUAGCUUGAAACGCAUUACUGCAUCGAUUCCGGCGCAUUUCUGCCGCAUCUUCCCUCCCUUGCAUUGUGCAUCUGGACCAUUUCAGUUGACAAACGAGCAACGCAUCCAAUUUCGCUGCAUUUUUGCACCGUCGCGUUGUGAUGAGCGUGACGUGGACACGCUGCUCUGGGAUUAUGUAGAUGAACACAAAUGGCACGGCAGCUGCAGUUGCAGUUGCAGAUGCAUUUCGGGUUGCCUUCGAAGUUGCAGUUUGCAGUUUGCAGUCUGCAGUUGGCAAAUGCAUGCAGGUCACAGUUUU